GGCGGGCGGCCCUAUAAUGCAGUCGAGCGAGAUUAAGGGGCUUGCUCCUUAUGAAAGUGGCGCACGGCGUGCGUAACGCGUAUGCAACCUACCUCAAUCAGGGGGAUAGCCCGAAUAAAUUCGGAUUACCACCGCAUAAAAACACAGGAUAGCAUUAUCUAUUGUUCAAAUAUUUAUAGGAUUGAGAUGGGCAUGCGUGUCAUUAGCUGGUUGGGGGGGUAACGGCCCACCAAGGCAACGAUGACUAGGGGAUCUGAGAGGACCACCCCCCUGACUGGGACUGACACACGGACCUCACUCCUACGGGAGGCAGCAGGAAUGAAUAUUGGUGAAUGGAGGCAACUCUGAACCAUGCAUGCCGCGUGCAGGAAGACAGCCCUCUGGGUCGCAGACUGCUUUUAUUCAGAAAUAAACCUAUUUACGUGUGCAUAGCUGAAUGUACCGAAUGAAGAUCGAUCGGCUAACUCCGUGCCACCAGCCGCGGAAAUACGAACGAUCCGAGCGCUAUCCGGAUUGAUUGGGUUUGAAGGGUGCGUAGGCGGGUUAUUAAGUCAUGAGUGAAAGACGGUCGCUCAACCAUCGCACUGUCAUUGAUACUGAUGAGCUUGAAUGAACUAUAGGUAGGCGGAAUGUGGCAAGUAGCAGUGAAAUGCAUAUAUAUGUCACAGACCAUUGAUUGCGAAGGCAACUUACUAUGGAUUGAUUGACACUGACGAACGAAAGCGUGGGGAUCAAGCUGGAAUACACACCCUGGUAGUCCACGCCCUAAACGAUGAAAACUCUCUGUUACCGAUAUACAGUUAGCGGCUAAGCGAUAGCGUUCAGUAUUCCAGCUGGCGAGUACGCCCGCAAGGGUGAAACUCAUAGGAAUUGACCCGCGCCCGCACAGGCGCAUGAGCUUGUGGUCUAAUUCACUGAUGCAAUCGGAACCUUGCCUCAGACGUUGAAGGUACGUG
rnacentral:rRNA from 1 species